UGGGUUUAAAGGGUGCGUAGGCGGCUUUUUAAGUCAGUGGUGAAAUCUUGCCGCUUAACGGUAAAAUUGCCAUUGAUACUGAAGAGCUUGAGUACAUUUGUGGUAAGCGGAAUGUGUAGUGUAGCGGUGAAAUGCUUAGAUAUUACACAGAACACCAAUUGCGAAGGCAGCUUACUAAACUGUUACUGACGCUGAUGCACGAAAGCGUGGGGAGCGAACAGGAUUAGAUACCCUGGUAGUCCACGCCGUAAACGAUGUUCACUCGCUGUUUGCGAUACACAGCAAGCGGCCAAGCGAAAGCAUUAAGUGAACCACCUGGGGAGUACGAUCGCAAGGUUGAAACUCAAAGGAAUUGACGGGGGCCCGCACAAGCGGAGGAACAUGUGGUUUAAUUCGAUGAUACGCGAGGAACCUUACCUGGGCUUAAAUGUAGAGCGACAGAUUGUGAAAGCAGUCCUUCUUCGGACGAUCUACAAGGUGCUGCAUGGUUGUCGUCAGCUCGUGCCGUGAGGUGUCGGGUUAAGUCCCAUAACGAGCGCAACCCUUAUCGUUAGUUGCCAGCGGGUCAAGCCGGGGACUCUAGCGAGACUGCCACCGUAAGGUGUGAGGAAGGUGGGGAUGACGUCAAAUCAGCACGGCCCUUAUGUCCAGGGCUACACACGUGUUACAAUGGCCGAUACAAAGGGCAGCUACCAGGUGACUGGAUGCUAAUCUCUAAAGUCGGUCUCAGUUCGGAUCGAAGUCUGCAACCCGACUUCGUGAAGCUGGAUUCGCUAGUAAUCGCAUAUCAGCCAUGAUGCGGUGAAUACGUUCCCGGGCCUUGUACACACCGCCCGUCAAACAAUGGAAGCUGGGGGUACCUGAAGUCUGUAACCGCAAGGAGCGGCC
rnacentral:rRNA from 1 species